GUGGCUGUAGCUCAGUCGGUUAGAGUAGUGGUUUGUGGUGCCAUUGGUCGCCGGUUCGAAUCCGGUCAGCCACCC
rnacentral:tRNA from 1 species